rnacentral:tRNA from 1 species
UGGGGAAUUAGCUCAGUUGGUAGAGCGCUGCGAUCGCACCGCAGAGGCCACCGGUUCAAAUCCGGUAUUCUCCAU